rnacentral:snRNA from 21 species
AUACUUACCUUGACGCGACUUUCUUGCUCAUAAAGAAGGAGGCUCCUUGGGGUCGGCUCUCAUUGCACUACGAGAGCUCGAUUUCUCGCGAAUUGUCUUAGGAUAGUUCGGUGUCGCAAUUUUUGAUUUCUUUUGUCUUUUCAUUAAU